AUAUACCCAUAGCCUAAUUUCGGCCUCAUUCCUGAGGCCGUAUGCGGGGGAACCAAUUCCUCGAAUGCAAAAUUUGAGGACGGGGCGUAAGCAGUCGGCAAACCGGCUGCAAGGCCACUUCUAAGGCCAAGCCCGUCAGCUAACCUCGUCGGCAAGUUGGAAGGGCAAU
rnacentral:sRNA from 2 species